UACGAAGGGGGCUAGCGUUGUUCGGAAUUACUGGGCGUAAAGCGCACGUAGGCGGAUUGUUAAGUUAGGGGUGAAAUCCCGGGGCUCAACCCCGGAACUGCCUUUAAUACUGGCAAUCUCGAGUCCGAGAGAGGUGAGCGGAAUUCCGAGUGUAGAGGUGAAAUUCGUAGAUAUUCGGAGGAACACCAGUGGCGAAGGCGGCUCACUGGCUCGGUACUGACGCUGAGGUGCGAAAGCGUGGGGAGCAAACAGG
rnacentral:rRNA from 1 species